GAAACAUGCCGAAAGGGACUUACAAGCAAAAUUUCCGCGAUUCGUGGUUAAAUUUUGAAGAAUUUAAGCAGUGGCUACGCAAAGAAGGAAAUCAAAGACGAAAAAUAUUUUGAUGAAAAAUAUAAAAUCAGAGAAGAUUGUAAAAACUUCAUCAAGGCUUUAAUUAUUCAACUAAGGGAGAGACUUCCUGAUAACAUUGAAGUACUAAAACAAAUGGAUAUUUUCGCCGUUGGCAAUAUGCUACAAGCAAAUAAAACGCCAGAUAAAAUUAUUUCGUUGUUGGAACAUUUCAAAUAUGAAAAUAUUGAUGAAAUAGUAUCCCAAUUUGGAAAAAUCCACCUUAUUAAUUGGGAAAAAAAGGAAAUAACUAUAGAGUUUUGGUCAGAAGUUUUGAUGUAUAAGGAUGCUGGCCAAAACAAAGCUUUCGAGCAACUGGCGUUAUUUGCUUUGCACAUUCUUUCACUGCCAUGGUCGAAUGCUGCGGUUGAGAGGGUAUUCAGCCAAAUGAACAUGGUCAAAACAAAGUUGCGCAACAAAAUGAAUUUAAAAAGCUUGAACGCAAUUUUAAGAAUAAGAUAUGGACUGCGACGUCAUGGCAAAUGUUGCCAUGACUACAUACUUCCAACGAAAUACCUCAGCUCAUCCGCUAAAUAUAUGGAAUCGAAAGAUGAAGUCGAUGAAAUUAUUUCUUUGCUCUAAUAGCUAUAUAAAUAUAAUAUCAAUAAAAGUAAAAAAUCAA